rnacentral:lncRNA from 1 species
CGGGUUGAAGUAUAGUUGUAGUUAGUUUAAUACUAGAAGAACAAACAUUAAUUACAUAAUUGUGAGAGUGAAAAAAAGAGGAGCAUGUGGAUCAGUUAGCCAUAUGUGAAAUAUGACAUAUCAGCCAUGGAUUGAGAUAUGAUUUAUGGUUGCCAGUCAUGGAUAGAAGUAUGGUGUGUAUUUGGCUUGCCACAGACUGGAGCAUAGUUGUGACUAGUCCAGUGCUA